rnacentral:rRNA from 1 species
UAGCCCGAAGAAAUUCGUGAUUAACACCGCAUGAAACCACAGCUACAUGCAUUGUACAAUGGUCAAAUAUUUAUAGGAUGGAGAUGGGCAUGCGUGCCAUUAGCUAGUUGGUAGGGUAACGGCCUACCAAGGCGACGAUGGCUAGGGGAUCUGAGAGGAUGGCCCCCCACACUGGUACUGAGACACGGACCAAACUUAUACGGGAGGCAGCAGUAAGGAAUAUUGGUCAAUGGAGGCAACUCUGAACCAGCCAUGCCGCGUGCACGAAGACAGCCCUAUGGGUCGUAAACUGCUUUUGUACGGGAACAAACCUUUCUUCGUGAAGAAAGCUGAGCGUACCGUAAGAAUAAGGAUCGGCUAACUCCGUGCCAGCAGCCGCGGUAAUACGGAGGAUCCAAGCGUUAUCCGGAUUUAUUGGGUUUAAAGGGAGCGUACGCGGCCCGUUAAGUCAAGGGUGAAAGACGGUGGCUCAACCAUCGCAGUGCCUUUGAUACUGACGGGCUUGAAUACACCUGAGGUAGGCGGAAUGUGACAAGUACCGGUGAAAUGCAUAGAUAUGUCACAGAACACCGAUUGCGAAGGCAGCUUACUAAAGUGUGAUUGACGCUGAAGCUCGAAAGCGUGGGGAUCAAACAGGAUU